CCACUAAGGUGGUGAAGCAAUUGAUGCCCUGCUUCCAGGAAAAGCCUCUAAGCUUCAGGUUACCAACAAUCGUACCCCAAACCGACACAGGUGGUCAGGUAGAGAAUACUCAGGCGCUUGAGAGAACUCGGGUGAAGGAACUAGGCAAAAUGGUGCCGUAACUUCGGGAGAAGGCACGCUGGCGGUAAGUGAAGUCCCUUGCGGACGGAGCCGAAGCCAGUCGAAGAUACCAGCUGGCUGCAACUGUUUAUUAAAAACACAGCACUGUGCAAACACGAAAGUGGACGUAUACGGUGUGACGCCUGCCCGGUGCUGGAAGGUUAAUUGAUGGGGUUAUCCGUAAGGAGAAGCUCUUGAUCGAAGCCCCAGUAAACGGCGGCCGUAACUAUAACGGUCCUAAGGUAGCGAAAUUCCUUGUCGGGUAAGUUCCGACCUGCACGAAUGGCGUAAUGAUGGCCAGGCUGUCUCCACCCGAGACUCAGUGAAAUUGAACUCGCUGUGAAGAUGCAGUGUACCCGCGGCAAGACGGAAAGACCCCGUGAACCUUUACUAUAGCUUGACACUGAACAUUGAGCCUUGAUGUGUAGGAUAGGUGGGAGACUAUGAAAUGUGGACGCCAGUCUGCAUGGAGUCAACCUUGAAAUACCACCCUUUAACGUUUGAUGUUCUAACCUAGGUCCAUAAUCUGGAUCGGGGACCGUGUCUGGUGGGUAGUUUGACUGGGGCGGUCUCCUCCUAAAGAGUAACGGAGGAGCACGAAGGUUGGCUAAGCAUGGUCGGACAUCAUGCGGUUAGUGCAAAGGCAUAAGCCAGCUUGACUGUGAGAGUGACGGCUCGAGCAGGUACGAAAGUAGGUCUUAGUGAUCCGGUGGUUCUGAAUGGAAGGGCCAUCGCUCAACGGAUAAAAGGUACUCCGGGGAUAACAGGCUGAUACCGCCCAAGAGUUCAUAUCGACGGCGGUGUUUGGCACCUCGAUGUCGGCUCAUCACAUCCUGGGGCUGAAGUAGGUCCCAAGGGUAUGGCUGUUCGCCAUUUAAAGUGGUACGCGAGCUGGGUUUAGAACGUCGUGAGACAGUUCGGUCCCUAUCUGCCGUGGGCGUUGGAAGAUUGAGAGGGGUUGCUCCUAGUACGAGAGGACCGGAGUGAACGCACCACUGGUGUUCGGGUUGUCAUGCCAAUGGCAUUGCCCGGUAGCUAAGUGCGGAAGAGAUAACCGCUGAAAGCAUCUAAGCGGGAAACUUGCCUCGAGAUGAGUCUUCCCUGUCACCUUGAGUGACCUAAAGGAACGUUUAAGACUAAGACGUUGAUAGGCUGGGUGUGUAAGCGUAGCGAUACGUUGAGCUAACCAGUACUAAUGAACCGUGAGGCUUAACCUG
rnacentral:rRNA from 1 species